GACGGAGGAUGCAAGUGUUAUCCGGAAUCACUGGGCGUAAAGCGUCUGUAGGUGGUUUGCUAAGUCUGCUGUCAAAGCUUGAAGCUCAACUUCAAAAAUGCAGCAGAAACUAGAAGACUUGAGUAUGGUAGGGGUAGAGGGAAUUUCCAGUGAAGUGGUGAAAUGCGUUGAUAUUGGAAAGACCACCAAUGGCGAAGGCACUCUACUGGGCCAUUACUGACACUGAGAGACGAAAGCUAGGGGAGCAAAUGGG
rnacentral:rRNA from 1 species